UAUUUCUGUUUUUCUGGGUGGGUUGGUAAUUUUCUCUUAGUAACAGAUAACAAAUGUGUGUAAUAGGUUAUGCUGCUAUUUUAGGGUGCAGAAGAGUUGGCAGUCAGAAACCUAGUCAGUUCAGCUCAGAUCCACCUCUGGGAGAAUUCUGUUCAUGCUGCAUUAACCCACAUCUAAGCUGGUCUAUGGCCUUGUUGUGAGAGGCAUCUUCAGAAAUUUGGAGCCUCGAAGGAAAGAAUGGAAGAGACAGCACAGUGACCAGUUAAUGGGAGUGCAGGAGUGUCAGUUAAGGGGUCAAUGAUAAGAUUAAAUCAGAGUGAACCGAGGCCAGAGAACUCAAUCUACUCUAAAAAAGGAGAGACUCCUGCAGAGCUGAUGGCAACCUGAUUUCCUGCAUCUAUUCUAACUGACCUGAGAGAAGCGUCAGUGAGCACAGGGCACCAGGCAGAGCUUCUCUGAGUCACCUAGAUGGUUUCAUCCAUCUCUGGUUUCUAAUGUUGUCCUCUAAAAACCUUGAUUAAUGGCAUGUAA